rnacentral:rRNA from 1 species
UUCCCACCGCAAGGGUAAGACCCCAGAAAGACUAUCUGGUUGAUAGGGCGAAGGUGUAAGUGCAGCAAUGUAUUUAGCUUAUCGAUACUAAUAGGUCGAGGACUUGACCAAUAUUUAUU